CACUGACAGCAAGUUGCUAAGGGUUGUCCUCCACUGUCUUAUUCCUUUGGUAAGCAUGAAUUUAUUAGCUUACCCAAAACUUACCCACUAUUAGCUUUCCUUCUAGGUAGGCGUAAAAAGUAAUUUACCCACUAUUAGCUUUCCUUCUAGGUAGGCCUAAACAUCUCUAUUAAUUUAUUAGCUUACCCAAAACUUACCACACCAUACAUACAUCCAUCUCUAUCACAAUUCACCGACUCCCAACUCAACAAAUACAACAACAAAAAAGAACUCUUCUUUCUUCUCCUUUCCUCACCCUCACCUUACCCACCCUCAUCACUCUCACUUCUAGUAACUUUCCACCAUUUUCAUUCACCUCUCAUUUUCUCUCUCCUCUUUCUUUUUAAUUCAUGUGGAAGUCGUACCCAAUCUCACAAGCUCAGCAAUGGGCUCUACGUUACGGGCCGGCCCGAUUCCCAACCCAAAGAAUGCCCACCAACAAUGGUUGCUCGUGCCGUACCCUACACUGGUGGCGACAUCAAGAAAUCCGGCGAACUUGGCAAGAUGUUCGACGUCACCACCACCACUACCCAGCUCAUCAAAUCAACUAUUUCAAGUAUUAAGCAUGCAACAGUAGAUUUAAACUGAAGGAAAGAUUGUUGUGUAUAUCGUGUAUAGGUAUUGAAUUUUGCGAGUUUUUUAGAACAAUUGUAAGGGUUGAUUGUGAAUUUUUUUUAUGUAUUGAGACUACUGUAAGUGAUUUGUGAGUUUUUUAGAAUAGUGAUUUGUAUGUUAAUUUUUAUUUUUUUUGUAAAGUUCAGUGAUUUGUGAAUUUCUUCUAACGUGAUUUUCUCAUUUAUUUCCUGAUAUAA